rnacentral:rRNA from 1 species
GAUAAACGCUGGCGGCGCACAUAAGACAUGCAAGUCGAACGGAAAUCGUCUUAAAUAUUGUGGAAGUGAAGUUUGAUUUAUCUAAUGAAUCUGAAGUAAUUUUUAAGACAUAUGAUUUUAGUGGCGGACUGGUGAGUAACACGUAAGCAACCUGCCUAUGAGAGGGGAAUAACAGUGAGAAAUCAUUGCUAAUACCGCAUACCUUGAAUUUAUCGCAUGGUAAAUUUAAGAAAGGAGUAAUCCGCUUGUAGAUGGGCUUGCGUCUGAUUAGCUAGUUGGUAGGGUAAAGGCUUACCAAGGCGACGAUCAGUAGCCGGACUGAGAGGUUGAACGGCCACAUUGGGACUGAGAUACGGCCCAGACUCCUACGGGAGGCAGCAGUCGGGAAUAUUGCGCAAUGGAGGGAACUCUGACGCAGUGACGCCGCGUAUAGGAAGAAGGUUUUAGGAUUGUAAACUAUUUUAGUCAGGGAAGAUUUAGACGGUACCUGAAGAAUAAGCUCCGGCUAACUACGUGCCAGCCGCCGCCGUAAAAC